rnacentral:rRNA from 1 species
AAGGAAUAUUGGUCAAUGGACGCAAGUCUGAACCAGCCAUGCCGCGUGAAGGAUGAAGGUCCUCUGGAUUGUAAACUUCUUUUAUCUGGGACGAAAACGGGAUUUUUAUCUCAAUUGACGGUACCAGAGGAAUAAGCACCGGCUAACUCCGUGCCAGCAGCCGCGGUAAUACGGAGGGUGCGAGCGUUAUCCGGAUUUACUGGGUUUAAAGGGUGCGUAGGUGGGCUUAUAAGUCAGUGGUGAAAUCUCCGAGCUUAACUUGGAAACUGCCGUUGAUACUAUAGGUCUUGAAUUAUCUGGAGGUAAGCGGAAUAUGUCAUGUAGCGGUGAAAUGCUUAGAUAUGGCAUAGAACACCAAUUGCGAAGGCAGCUUACUACAUAUAAAUUGACGCUGAGGCACGAAAGUGUGGGGAUCAAACA